CUGUUAACUGAUACCAACUAGGCAAGAGCUCUCCUGUAUAAAACAAACAAACAAGAACAAAUAAAUAAAUAAAUAAAUAAAUGAAUAAUCUGUGCUAUAUUAGUGGUGUUAAAAGGUAAAGCAUCACCAGGUGCUGGAGACGAGGUAGCAGGAGCAGAACCAUGCUGACAGGCUUCCAGUUAAAUAGGCUGUGGAUGUACAGGUGACAUAUGAUUUAUUCAUGAGGUCUGGGGAAACCCAUAGAAACACAGAUUUAGGUUUAACACUAUGAGCAGGGACAACAAAAUUGAUGAAUAACUGGAACAGUGUUUAGGGUAGGAGAGGAGAGCUGACGGAAUUGAAUAUCAGCCAUGGAAAGGGAGGUGUGACCAGUAGCUGUGAAAGUAAUGAAAAAAAUGUAUGAGAAAAUGCAUGGCACUCGGAUGAAUAACUGCUGGUGGCUCCCACUGAAAUAUUAUACAGAAGCGAAAUGAAACACAGACUGCAGCUGUAAAUAGAGACAUCUUAGUUAUCCACUCCCCCUCCCUCUCAGUGUCCCCGGCACAAAACCCCCACACACUCCCAACACUACUCUCUCUAAAGGCAACGUCACUGAGCAGACAUACAGCUAGGCAAAGGAGCUCCAGGAAUUUGGACAGAAUCAUGCUUGAGGUGCGCAAGGCUUAAUAUAAGCUGAUCGGUAACCAAAGCACGUCCACAUCUCUCUUCUGCUGUCCAUGUGAUCUGUCGGCCCUCAGAGACUGCAUACUUUUCAGUGUUUUUUUUUUCUCCCAGAUGUUCUCACACAAGAAAAAAGGACAUGAAUCAGUUGCAGAACUCAUGAUUUCUUUAAGAAGAGAAACUGCAGCUAUAGUUAAGUAGGUUACACUCUUAACAUUCUUAUGCCUGAUCCUAUCAUUUGUAAACAAGCAGUAGUAGUGGAGAACAGCAUUCUUUGCCAUCAAGAGCAGGUAAUAUGAAUGCCACACAGCCAUUUAAAAGCAAACCCUUCCAAAAAGCAAACUUACAUAAUUAUUUACUAGUAGUAAUUAAUGACAGAUAUGGAAUUUUAUCUCUCCUCUGCACACACUGAAUACACAUUAGUGCUGUAAAUCAGCACCCUCACAACACGCCACUGGAUGAUCUGCUAAACUGUUAUGUUACAGACUUAGAUUUCAUUUAUAUUUAUAGAGCAUCGUGAUGGAUUCCAUUAGCUUAUUUGGAAAUGAAAAUUUAAAAUAGCAUGGCAUCAAGAUACUACAAUUUGGAUUAGUAGUCAGAAGCAACUGAAAUCUUUACUAUUAAGAGGAUUAUGAAACUAUUCUAUUCUUUAGAAAAUAGAGCAACACGUUCAUGCUAUCGGUUCUUCGCACUGAAUAAUUUCUGAAUGAUAUUAGUCCCUGGUUUGAUCCUGAUCUUAGGUUACUGUCUGUGUAGUGUUUUGCACGUUCUCCCUGUAUUCAUAUAGAAUGCUGGGUUCUCUGAUUUCCUGCCACCUCCCAAAACUUGCCAGUGGGUGGAUUGGCAACUCUAAAUUGCCCCUAGGUGUGAAUGUGCGUGCAAAUGUGUGUGCAUGGUGCCUUGAGACAGAAUGACAUGCUACCCAGGGUAUAUGCCAUUCCGUCUCAACACUGUUUUCGGGAUAGGCUCUGGAUUCACUGCAACCCUGGACAGGAUCAAGCAGAUACUGAAUGAAUGAAUGAAUGAAUGUUACUGCAAUUUAUUUGACAUGUAGGCUACACAGACUUGUAUAAGUCUGCCCAAAACAUAUCCAACCCGGAAACAACAACAACAACAACAGCAACAACAACAACAACAACAAGUCAACAGGAAAGAAACUUUUGAGGCACUCCUGGAACCAGUGAUUCACUAAAUACAACCUGCAAAAGCAGCUACUGUGGAAGGCUAUCACCCUUAAUAACCACCCUUUAUAACCAAGGUGAGCAGAAAAGCAUCUCAGAACGCACAGCAUGGAAAACUUUAAGGCAGAUGGGCUACAACAGCAGAAGAACAUAUCAGAUUCCACUCCCAUUAGCCAAGAACAGGAAUCUCAGGCUCCAGUGGGCUCCCAGAAACUGGACAGCUGACAGUUAACCUUCUGUGGUCUAACCUUCCUUUUGUGUACACUUGUGUAUAUCCUGAGCCAUGGUCAGAGAGAGUAUUGUUGGAAUAGCUGCUCUGUCAGUGUUGUAAAUCAGGGUCAGGGACGAGUUACUGACCUUUUGCUUGAGAUUACUUGUUUGACCAAUAAAUUAUGUUUGUCAAAGGC